CCAGCGAACUUGGCAGAGAUGCCUUGGUGCCUUCGGGAGCGCUGAGACAGGUGCUGCAUGGCUGUCGUCAGCUCGUGUUGUGAAAUGUUGGGUUAAGUCCCGCAACGAGCGCAACCCUUAUCCUUUGUUGCCAGCGAUUCGGUCGGGAACUCAAAGGAGACUGCCGGUGAUAAACCGGAGGAAGGUGGGGAUGACGUCAAGUCAUCAUGGCCCUUACGAGUAGGGCUACACACGUGCUACAAUGGCGCAUACAAAGAGAAGCGACCUCGCGAGAGCAAGCGGACCUCAUAAAGUGCGUCGUAGUCCGGAUCGGAGUCUGCAACUCGACUCCGUGAAGUCGGAAUCGCUAGUAAUCGUGGAUCAGAAUGCCACGGUGAAUACGUUCCCGGGCCUUGUACACACCGCCCGUCACACCAUGGGAGUGGGUUGCAAAAGAAGUAGGUAGCUUAACCUCCGGGAGGGCGCUUACCACUUUGUGAUUCAUGACUGGGGUGAAGUCGUAACAAGGUAAGCGUAGUGCU
rnacentral:rRNA from 1 species